rnacentral:rRNA from 1 species
UACGUAGGUGGCGAGCGUUGUCCGGAUUUAUUGGGCGUAAAGGGAACGCAGGCGGUCUUUUAAGUCUUAUGUGAAAGCCUUCGGCUUAACCGAAGUAGUGCAUUGGAAACUGGAAGGCUUGAGUGCAGAAGAGGAGAGUGGAACUCCCGGUGUAGCGGUGAAAUGCGUAGAUAUAUGGAAGAACACCGGUGGCGAAAGCGGCUCUCUGGUCUGUAACUGACGCUGAGGUUCGAAAGCGUGGGGAGCAAACAGG